UUCUGGCUCAGGAUGAACGCUAGCUACAGGCUUAACACAUGCAAGGUCGAGGGGCAGCAUAUCGAAAGCUUGCUUUGAUGAUGGCGACCGGCGCACGGGUGAGUAACGCGUAUCCAACCUUCCCUAUACUAGAGGAUAGCCCGGCGAAAGUCGGAUUAAUACUCUAUGUUCUUCGUAGAAGACAUCUGAAAUGAAGCAAAGGUUUACCGGUAUAGGAUGGGGAUGCGUCUGAUUAGGUUGUUGGCGGGUAACGGCCCACCAAGCCCACGAUCAGUAGGGGUUCUGAGAGGAAGGUCCCCCACAUUGGAACUGAGACACGGUCCAAACUCCUACGGGAGGCAGCAGUGAGGAAUAUUGGUCAAUGGACGAGAGUCUGAACCAGCCAAGUAGCGUGCAAGGAUGACGGCCCUAUGGGUUGUAAACUGCUUUUAUACAGGGAUAAAGUGCACUACGUGUAGUGUUUUGUAGGUACUGUAUGAAUAAGGACCGGCUAAUUCCGUGCCAGCAGCAGC
rnacentral:rRNA from 1 species